UACAGAGGGUGCAAGCGUUAAUCGGAAUUACUGGGCGUAAAGCGUGCGUAGGCGGUUCGUUAAGUUCGUUGUGAAAGCCCCGGGCUCAACCUGGGAAUGGCAAUGGAAACUGGCGGGCUGGAGUAUGGCAGAGGGGGGUGGAAUUCCGCGUGUAGCAGUGAAAUGCGCAGAUAUCAGGAGGAACACCGGUGGCGAAGGCGGAUCUCUGGGCCUUACCUGACGCUCAGGUGCGAAAGCUAGGGGAGCGAACAGG
rnacentral:rRNA from 1 species